CUUUUUAGCUGGAAAAUUCAGGUUUAAGGAGAGCAGAAAAAAUGGCCUGACAACAUGAUCUAAUGAACCACAAAACAGUCUUCAAGGAGAAAAAGUAGCAGGAAGUUCCCUCAUACAAGACAGUUUCCAACGGUUACAGAUGCACAGGUGCCUCUCCUACUCAGACAGCUGAUAGACCCAUCCUUGCUUAUGAUCUGGAUCCAGUCCUGGAGAACAGGAAGUGGAACAGUGGGGUCGUCAGAGCCAUGUUUGGUACAGAACUCUAUGCUAUUGCAGCUACACUUCUGGAAAAAAAGAACAAGAAGAAACAGAGUAAUGUUCAAAAGAGAAACUGAGGGAAAGAGAAAAUGAAGUUCCAUUUUCAAAAUGGCAAAAAGAAGAUGUAGCUUCAAAGAACUCCUCACAGUACAUUAGUGCAGCCUUAUUAAUACCACUGGAACUAUUCGGAUGGAAGUUUUCAUCAAGAAAAUUGUAGCGGCAGUCACAGAACGCUUUUUCUUUCUUAGAGGCAUUAUGAAAGACAAAGAGUUUGCAGAAGAAUGAUGAUCUGCUAAUUCUCAACACUGAGUCAGGUUCUCAGCAUUUGCAUGAUGAAGAACCACAGUUCGUGCCCCUUGUCUCUCAUCCUGUCAUUGUGCACCACUGAGAAGAGUUUGGCUCCAUCUUCUUUCCACCCUCCCAUCAGGUAUUUUUACACAUUGCUAAGAUCCCUCCUAAACCUCCUUCUCCAGGCUAAUCAGUCCCAGCUCUCCCAGCUUCUCCUUCUAUGAGAGAUGCUCCAGUCCCUUUAACUUCUUAGUGGCCCUUCACUGGACUUGCUUCAGUAUGUCCAUGUCUUCCUUGCACUGGGGAGGCCAAAACCAGACACAGCGCUCCAGCUGUGGUCUCACCAGUGCUGGGAAUAAUCACCUCCCUCGACCUGCUGGCAACGUUCUUCCUAAUGCAACCCAAGAGGCUGUUGGCCUUCUUCUCCAAUAUACAUACUUGCAGAUACAGCACAAUUUUAAGGACAUGAUUAGUGUUAUACUUCCAGGGAAGUAUAAGCCAUAUUAUCCUGCUAAUACAUAUUUCAUGUCAGUGUCAGGGAUGGCAUGUAUGCUCGUUACAUGUUUUUCCCAAACAAAUGGCCUAUUACAAAUAGUUGUUUAGGAUUCAUGUAUAGUGCCUGUAAAAACAUCUGUUCACUGUGUAUUUAUAAAAAUAAUAUUGAAAAUGUGUAAAAGUGUAAAUCUGGGUCUCUUCACAGGAAUGUAGGAAUCGUGGAAAACAGCAGUCCUAAAAGAUAUGAAUUCUCAAUUUCAUUAUGUUGUUAGUGCUAAAAUCUGAAGAUGGCAGAUUGAUUACGGUUAUGUUUAACUACCUCACAGAUAACCCUUGUAGCAGGACUAUCCAGAUCAUAAACUUCUACAGUUUCAAAAAGCAUUCCAUACUGUUUCAGGAGCCAAAAACUCAGUUCUCCCUUAUGUAUUCUUUCAAACCUUCCACUUCCUCUGCAGCUGCCACAGUGCAACUGUGGACAAUACAUUGACAAUAUGCAAAUUUUCUGUAGAGAGAGGUCCAUAGACUUUUCAGUGGGUCCGCAGGCAGCCUAAAGCAAUGAGAUGUUCUAUUGGAUUUGUUUGUCUUGGCAAGAAAGAGAACAACCUUGUUCUUGAAAAAUCUACAUUUAGUUCCUCAACUAUAAACAAUUUUCAUCAGAUCUUCCAUCUGCAGUAUAUAUCUUUGUUUGGCAAACAAUUCUCAUUGUUUGUUAUUAUACAUGCCAAAUUGUUUCUGUUCUGCAUGAGCUAUGAUGACUUAAAGGGCUGAAGUUUCAUGUGGCCAAAAGAGUUUUUCCCUCUUAAUUCAGUGGUACUCUUACUGCUUGGGUUGAUCCAUGAUUUCUUUGCAUUUUUUAGAGUCUCUUGCUGCAGAAAACAGGAACAAAUAGGUAAAGCAAAACUUCUUGCUGUUAAUGCCAUACAAAUACAUCAGCCAAUGUGCAGUCUAGUUCAUGACUUUUAACCUUCUGGAAUAAAGUUCAAAGCAGGAUGUGAAAUAGUCUUUUAAAAAUAUGCAGAAUCAAGGUCCUUUCCAUUCCAAUUCCUGUUAAAAAGGUCAAUAAAACUAUGUCAGAAAGUCCUGGGAAGGCGUCUCGACUCUUCACGUACCAUGUCCAAAAGAAAACUGAGAGACAGGCAAAAACCCCAGUAUAUUCAGGACAGUGCUGUAAAUCAGAUUAAUGUUAAGAAAAGCAAACACCUUUCAUACUACUCCCCGCUCUCACAUGCCCAUGCUGAAGUGAGAGUAAAAUUUAGAUGCUAGGAAGUAGGAUAGCUCUUCCUAAAACAUUAGAUUGGCCCAGGUGGCCACAACCAGCACCAUUUUUCCUAGAUUGAUCUUGCAAAGUGCCUCGUAACUGACUCUUACUCUCAGAGAUGUUGAAUAUCCUUAUUAGCUUUUUCCAAUGCAGACCAGAUGUUGUAUUGUGGUAAUUUUCUCAUGAGCCUUUUCCAUUUUGACUCUCCAUCAGCUAGGGAUCCAAAGAGAUACUACUUGAAAAACAGGAACUAUAAAAGAGCCAGGAACUUAUAAAUUAAAACAUAAACAUUAAUUUGUUUUCCAAGAUACAGAUGUCUUUUGUCAAUUCAAGCCUUGAUCUCACCACCAGUUAAAGGCAACGGUUGUUCUGUGGAGGCAUGCACUGGAAAUUAGCCAAUGGGUAUUAACUUUUGGUUCUGACUGAACUGGGGAAAAUUUGAAACAGAAACCCAGAAUUAAAAGUUCUGACAGUAAAGGAUGUUAUCAUUUGAAAAAUUUCAUGAUACUAAUAUCGGAAAAAGUUUUUUAGCCUAAGGAACUGUAGUAUCAUUAAGCCUUUCGGAGUCGGGUCAGAAGAGUUUUAGGUUGUCUUCGGUGAUGCUAGGGGUCUGUCUUUCUGCUUAAUUCCCUAAAUCUGUUUCUGCCCAGGGACCAGAAUCUGUCUCUGGGGAACUGAAUCCUAUGGUGGUGGCUGGUACAAGGGAUUACUGCAAAGUGGCAGCACCACAGCUCUGGAGAAGAUGACAGGGAGAGGUAGGGAAACAGGUAGAGACAGUACAGGUGCAGAGUAGUAUAGCAGACUGAUAUCAUGGACAUGAAAAUAUGAGUAAAAAACGUGUAUUUAAAGUUACUAUUCUGAUAAAAUAUUAUAAUAACAUCAGUAUUGCCCUUUAAUAGGUUCUAUAGCACUCUGUCCUUACGGAAGUAAAUUAGACAAAACACUCUCCUGUUAAUAAAACAUGAAUUUUGGUAUGAAGGAUUUCGUCUGGUAAGUUUAUAAAGAGGUAUAACAAAAGCUUUUUUCACUUUUGAUUAAAAGGAAGAAUGCACUGGUGGGCUAUAGGGAGCCUAAAUUAAAGCGGGAGCAGGAUAAAGAAACAAAAAUUUUGGGGUCUAUGCUAAGAAGCGCAUGUCUUUUAAAGAGGCUAAAUCAGCCAGCUGCCAUAUGUGUGGUCAGAUUUUGGUUCUCCUGUAAAUUUCCUAACUUCCGUUAUUUUUCUUGCUUAGGAAGAGAGGGAAAAGUAAAGUACUCUGAUGUGAUUAACCACCCAGUUUCCUAGGAUUUUGAAGACAUAACCAUUUUUGAGAAUACAUAAGAUACUGUUCAUUUUAAAUAUUUUGCUUGAGAAUUUUAAGUUAAAAUCCAUUCUUGUCUUCUGGUUAAUUAAUUCCAGUAUUCCCUGAAGGACGGUAAUCCUUUCAAUAUCUAACUGUAUGGCAUUGAGCCAUAUUAUAGUCCCUUUCCUCAGUCCUCCGGAGCUCUGUAUGGAAUGUUAUUUUUAAAUGAUAUUUUCCUUACUUAAUUAAAGUUCAAGAUCGCAGUGCAACAUGGAGAGAAUCCUUACUUUUCAGAAUGUUGGGGAUAUUAGAAUACAGACUUGUCAGCUAAAGUAUCUGUGAUUGCACUGUAUUUUUGUUAAUUUUUAACACAUGUGAGCCAUACUCCUGUUAAGGCUAUCUGGUAGACUUCUUACCAUGUACAGGUAUAAAUUUACUGGAGGAACAACAGGCCUUUCACUCCAUCCCACAGUAGCACCAGUCAGCGUGCACAUGCUUCUGUCUCAUGUGACACGUCCAUGCAGCCUUUAGAUUAGGGCUAUUUCCAUGUCAUGUAUAUACUUUCUUUGGAAAGACAAUUCACCCUCCCCUCUUCCCUUUUCUCCAUUUCUGCCCAUUAACAUGUUGAAAAAGAAAUCUACAACAUAUGACACCUACUUACCCUAUAACAAAAGUCUGAUAAAUGAGCUGGUACUUUAAAUUGGCACCCUGUUAAGGGAUACAGUUUAAAUAUAGUACUUCAUACAAAUGCAUGAUUUGGAAUCUUGUCAAACUAGAAGUCUGUUCAGAAGUCUUGACUGGUACUUUGAAACUUCUCAGAAAGAAGUUUAAGAAAAAAGGCACUUUAUUAGUCUUAAUUUUCAAUAGGGUAAUAAGAUAUGAAUUAAUAAAUAAAGGUAUCGCUAACAAAUUAAUAAUUUGGUAAA